rnacentral:rRNA from 1 species
UCGAGUUUUUGAAGCGAGGCUUGCUGCUGGUGCGGAAACGCGCAUGUGCACGGCUUUCGCGCUCAAAUCCACUCAACACCUGUGCACCUAUAUCUGGUUGAAGCGAGUAGUUCGGGCUCCUGUAGGCGGAGUAAUGAGUAGAAAGGAGGCACAGUCUUCCGUUUGAAAGUGAAAUGUCUCGGCUCGAGUGAAAGCUUCGACUUGUUUUUAUAAACCACACUUGUUGUCUUGUGAAUGUAAUGCUCCCUGUGAGCGAUAAUUAAAUACAACUUUCAACAACGGAUCUCUUGGCUCUCGCAUCGAUGAAGAACGCAGCGAAAUGCGAUAAGUAAUGUGAAUUGCAGAAUUCAGUGAAUCAUCGAAUCUUUGAACGCAUCUUGCGCCCCUUGGUAUUCCGAGGGGCAUGCCUGUUUGAGUGUCAUGUUAAUCUCAAAUCACUUGUCUUUCUUAAUUGAAGGGCCUGAGGUUUGGACUUGGAGGAUUCUUGCUGGCUCCGGUCGGCUCCUCUCAAAUGUAUUAGCUGGGCUUCGGCUUGCGUUUACGGUGUAAUAGUUAAUCCUUUCGCCAGAACGCUUGCCUAAUAGGUCUGCUUCUAAUCGUCCGUUUCGGACAAGGCUUCUGGCCUUCUGACUCCUUUGACCUCAAAUCAGGUAGGACU